rnacentral:rRNA from 1 species
UGCCAGACUCCUACGGGAGGCAGCAGUGGGGGAUAUUGCACAAUGGGGGAAACCCUGAUGCAGCGACGCCGCGUGGGUGAAGAAGUAUUUCGGUAUGUAAAGCCCUAUCAGCAGGGAAGAAAGAAGACGGUACCUGACUAAGAAGCCCCGGCUAACUACGUGCCAGCAGCCGCGGUAAUACGUAGGGGGCGAGCGUUAUCCGGAUUCACUGGGUGUAAAGGGAGCGUAGACGGCCGUGCAAGCCAGGAGUGAAAGCCCGGGGCCCAACCCCGGGACUGCUCUUGGAACUGUGCGGCUAGAGUGCGGGAGGGGCAGGCGGAAUUCCUGGUGUAGCGGUGAAAUGCGUAGAUAUCAGGAGGAACACCGGCGGCGAAGGCGGCCUGCUGGACCGCGACUGACGUUGAGGCUCGAAAGCGUGGGGAGCGAACAGGAUUAGAUACCCUUGUAC